CCCUUAGAUGUUCUGGGCUGCACGCGCGUUACACUGAUGCAUUCAACGAGCUUAUAACCUUGGCCGAGAGGCCUGGGCAAUCUUGUUAACGUGCAUCGUGAUAGGGAUAGAUUAUUGAAAUUAUUAAUCUUGAACGAGGAAUUCCUAGUAAACGCAGAUCAUCAAUCUGCAUUGAUUACGUCCCUGCCCUUUGUGCACACCGCCCGUCGCACCUACCGAUUGGAUGGUCCGGUGAAGCCUCGGGAUUGUGGUUCUUGCCGCUUUAUUGUGGCGUGACCGCGAGAACUUGUCUAAACCUUAUCAUCUAGAGGAAGGUGAAGUCGUAACA
rnacentral:rRNA from 1 species